AAAAGGAACUGAGAUAGAGGAGGACAUGUCCAUUUCAUGAGAUUCUCAUCAAGGAGGGAGAUGUCGAUGGCUGUCCUUGCUCUAAUCUCAGUUCUUUCUCUCAGUGUCCCCUCAGCAGCUGUUGCUGCCCAGAUCAGGCUGGUGAACGGGGACAGUCGGUGCUCAGGUCGAGUGGAGGUGUAUCACUAUAACCAGUGGGGAACUGUGUGUGAUGAUAUCUGGG